GCUCCUAUAGCUCAGUCGGUUAGAGCGUCAGACUCAUAAUCUGCAGGUCACUGGUUCGAGCCCAGUUGGGAGCACUA
rnacentral:tRNA from 1 species